rnacentral:rRNA from 1 species
UACGAAGGGGGCUAGCGUUGUUCGGAAUCACUGGGCUUAAAGGGCGCGUAGGCGGGUUCGCAAGUCAGGGGUGAAAUCUUUCAGCUUAACUGGAAAACAGCCCCUGAUACUGCGAGUCUCGAGGGAGGUAGGGGCAUGUGGAACUUCCGGUGGAGCGGUGAAAUGCGUAGAUAUCGGAAGGAACGCCGGUGGCGAAAGCGACGUGCUGGACCUCUUCUGACGCUGAGGCGCGAAAGCUAGGGGAGCAAACGGG